rnacentral:rRNA from 1 species
UACGAAGGGGGCUAGCGUUGUUCGGAAUCACUGGGCGUAAAGCGCACGCAGGCGGAUCGUUAAGUCAGGGGUGAAAUCCCGAGGCUCAACCUCGGAACUGCCUUUGAUACUGGCGAUCUUUGAGUCCGGGAGAGGUGAGUGGAACUCCGAGUGUAGAGGUGAAAUUCGUAGAUAUUCGGAAGAACACCAGUGGCGAAGGCGGCUCACUGGUCCGGUACUGACGCUGAGGUGCGAAAGCGUGGGGAGCAAACAGGG